UUGGCGCAUAUCUUUAGAUUAUCAGAAACGCUCUGAAUCUCGAACAGUGUGUUUCAUUUGUCGUUCAGUUAUUUACAAAAUCUUCUGCGACUGGAAACUCUAGCGAAGAUAGCUAUGACUGCGACGUUUCGUUUGUGUUUGAUCUUGGUUUUGUUGGGAGUAAUUGAAGUACUGGGUGCAAGCCAUGCCAAAACCAAGAAGCACAGGACCCAGCUACGUUCUUAUUUCAAACGUCAGCCGCACUUCAUGUGCGGCUCCAUGCUUGGAAGUGGAACAUGUGUGGAUUGGUAUAAGAUCUGUCCUUCCCACUCCUCCGUUGAAUGUAAAGAUCAUCAGGGCUGCCCAGAGGGAGCGCGCUGUUGCUGCCCUGGCCAUGGCAAACGAUAAAUCUUUUUGAUGAUGAAAAUGAUGCCUAGGUGCAUGUGGCUUUCCAGCCAUAGCGACAAAAUGACGAGUAAAGUGAACAUAGCAAUAGACUUCCUAGAUGGAAAUCACUUUUCGAUUGUAAAAAAAGGGAAAGAACCCAUCAAACAACUAGUGAUAAAAAUAAAACCAUCAUCAUUUUAUAUAAAA